GCCCCUGUAGUGUAGUCCGGUCUAGCAUAGGCGACUGUCACUCGUCUAACCCGGGUUCAAAUCCCGGCGGGGGCGCCA
rnacentral:tRNA from 1 species